GACGAACGCUGGCGGCGUGCCUAAUACAUGCAAGUCGAACGCAGGGGGGACGGGUGAGUAACACGUGGGUAACCUCCCAUCAGAGGGGAUAACACUUGGAAACAGGUGCUAAACCGAUACUGAUAGAUGGACCAGCGGUGCAUUAGCCAGUUGGUGGGGUAACGGCUCACCAAGGCCACGAUCCAUAGCCGACCUAGGAGGAUGAUCGGCCAAACUGGGACUGAGACACGGCCCAGACUCCUACGGGAGGCAGCAGUAGGGAAUCUUCGGCAAUGGGCGAAAGUCUGACCGAGCAACGCCGCGUGAGUGAAGAAGGUUUUCGGAUUGUAAAGCUCUGUCGUUAGGGAGGCGGUAUCGAACCAGAAAGCCACGGCUAACUACGUGCCAGCAGCCGCGGUAAUUC
rnacentral:rRNA from 1 species